GGGUCUUGGGGGGCGUCCCCAAGAGGAUUGUUCUGAUGGCCGGGCCGCCAUCUG
rnacentral:ncRNA from 12 species